rnacentral:rRNA from 1 species
GUGUCAGCCGCCGCGGUAAUACGAAGGGGGCUAGCGUUGCUCGGAAUGACUGGGCGUAAAGGGCGCGUAGGCGGUUCGUACAGUCAGAUGUGAAAUUCCUGGGCUUAACCUGGGGGCUGCAUUUGAUACGUGCGGGCUUGAGUUCGGAAGAGGGUCGUGGAAUUCCCAGUGUAGCAGUGAAAUUCGUAGAUAUUGGGAAGAACACCAGUGGCGAAGGCGGCUCUCUGGACCGAUACUGACGCUGAGGCGCGAAAGCGUGGGGAGCAAACAGGAUUAGAUACCCCGGUAGUCCACGCUGUAAACGAUGUGCGCUAGACGUUGGGGAACUUAGUUUCUCAGUGUCGCAGCUAACGCGAUAAGCGCACCGCCUGGGGAGUACGGCCGCAAGGUUAAA